AGCGAACGCUGGCGGCAGGCCUAACACAUGCAAGUCGAGCGCCCAGCAAUGGGAGCGGCAGACGGGAGAGUAACACGUGGGAACGUGCCUUUUGGUUCGGAAUAACUCAGGGAAACUUGAGCUAAUACCGGAUAAGCCCUUACGGGGAAAGAUUUAUUGCCAAAAGAGCGGCCCGCGUCCGAUUAGCUAGUUGGUGAGGUAAUGGCUCACCAAGGCGACGAUCGGUAGCUGGUCGAGAGGAUGACCAGCCUCAUUGGGACUGAGACACGGCCCAAACUCCUACGGGAGGCAGCAGUGGGGAAUAUUGGACAAUGGGCGCAAGCCUGAUCCAGCCAAUGCCGCGUGAGUGAUGAAGGCC
rnacentral:rRNA from 1 species